rnacentral:rRNA from 1 species
GUUAAGUUGCAGGGUAUAGACCCGAAACCCGGUGAUCUAGCCAUGGGCAGGUUGAAGGUUGGGUAACACUAACUGGAGGACCGAACCGACUAAUGUUGAAAAAUUAGCGGAUGACCUGUGGCUGGGGGUGAAAGGCCAAUCAAACCGGGAGAUAGCUGGUUCUCCCCGAAAGCUAUUUAGGUAGCGCCUCGUGAAUUCAUCUCCGGGGGUAGAGCACUGUUUCGGCUAGGGGGCCAUCCCGGCUUACCAACCCGAUGCAAACUGCGAAUACCGGAGAAUGUUAUCACGGGAGACACACGGCGGGUGCUAACGUCCGUCGUGAAGAGGGAAACAACCCAGACCGCCAGCUAAGGUCCCAAAGUCAUGGUUAAGUGGGAAACGAUGUGGGAAGGCCCAGACAGCCAGGAUGUUGGCUUAGAAGCAGCCAUCAUUUAAAGAAAGCGUAAUAGCUCACUGGUCGAGUCGGCCUGCGCGGAAGAUGUAACGGGGCUAAACCAUGCACCGAAGCUGCGGCAGCGAACGUAUCACCCAAGACAACUUUACGGAGUUGACGAUUGACGGAGCGAAGCGACGUCAAAGCGUUCAUUAAAGUCGAGUUGGCUUAGGGAUACGUUCGUUGGGUAGGGGAGCGUUCUGUAAGCCUGUGAAGGUGUGUCGUGAGGCAUGCUGGAGGUAUCAGAAGUGCGAAUGCUGACAUAAGUAACGAUAAAGCGGGUGAAAAGCCCGCUCGCCGGAAGACCAAGGGUUCCUGUCCAACGUUAAUCGGGGCAGGGUGAGUCGACCCCUAAGGCGAGGCCGAAAGGCGUAGUCGAUGGGAAACGGGUUAAUAUUCCCGUACUUGGUGUUACUGCGAAGGGGGGACGGAGAAGGCUAUGUUGGCCGGGCGACGGUUGUCCCGGUUUAAGCGUGUAGGUGUGUGUUCCAGGUAAAUCCGGUUCACUUUAACACUGAGGCGUGACGACGAGGCACUACGGUGCUGAAGCAACAAAUGCCCUGCUUCCAGGAAAAGCCUCUAAGCAUCAGGUAACAUCAAAUCGUACCCCAAACCGACACAGGUGGUCAGGUAGAGAAUACCAAGGCGCUUGAGAGAACUCGGGUGAAGGAACUAGGCAAAAUGGUGCCGUAACUUCGGGAGAAGGCACGCUGACACGUAGGUGAAGUGAUUUACUCAUGGAGCUGAAGUCAGUCGAAGAUACCAGCUGGCUGCAACUGUUUAUUAAAAACACAGCACUGUGCAAACACGAAAGUGGACGUAUACGGUGUGACGCCUGCCCGGUGCCGGAAGGUUAAUUGAUGGGGUCAGCGCAAGCGAAGCUCCUGAUCGAAGCCCCGGUAAACGGCGGCCGUAACUAUAACGGUCCUAAGGUAGCGAAAUUCCUUGUCGGGUAAGUUCCGACCUGCACGAAUGGCGUAAUGAUGGCCAGGCUGUCUCCACCCGAGACUCAGUGAAAUUGAACUCGCUGUGAAGAUGCAGUGUACCCGCGGCAAGACGGAAAGACCCCGUGAACCUUUACUAUAGCUUGACACUGAACAUUGAGCCUUGAUGUGUAGGAUAGGUGGGAGGCUUUGAAGUGUGGACGCCAGUCUGCAUGGAGCCGACCUUGAAAUACCACCCUUUAAUGUUU